CAGCCGCCGCGGUAACACAGAGGGUGCGAGCGUUAAUCGGAUUUACUGGGCGUAAAGCGUGCGUAGGCGGCUUCUUAAGUCGGAUGUGAAAUCCCUGAGCUUAACUUAGGAAUUGCAUUCGAUACUGGGAAGCUAGAGUAUGGGAGAGGAUGGUAGAAUUCCAGGUGUAGCGGUGAAAUGCGUAGAGAUCUGGAGGAAUACCGAUGGCGAAGGCAGCCAUCUGGCCUAAUACUGACGCUGAGGUACGAAAGCAUGGGGAGCAAACAGGAUUAGAUACCCCCGUAGUCCCUGUCUCUUAUAA
rnacentral:rRNA from 1 species